rnacentral:tRNA from 1 species
GCUCCCAUGGCGUAGUGGUCACUGCGCUCGCCUUGCACGCGGGAGACCCGGGUUCGAUUCCCGGCGGAGUCG